rnacentral:rRNA from 1 species
GCCAAACAGCUAGCUCAAACAAUAGAGUUAAACAACAACAUAUAUACCUCCACAAAACCUUAACAAACUAAACUAAACCAUUCGACCACCCCAGUACCGG